rnacentral:rRNA from 1 species
GUCCUAGCCGUAAACUAUGGUGACUAGGUGUUGGGCCCCAUCUGGGGUUCAGUGCCGUAGGUAACCUGUUAAGUCACCCACCUUGGGAGUACGGCCGCAAGGCUGAAACUCAAAGGAAUUGACGGGGGCCAGCACAAGCGGUGUAACAUGUGGUUCAAUUCGAUGCUACGCGAAGAACCUUACCUAGGCUUGACAUGCAAGAAGUAGGAUCCUGAAAGGGGGACGACUCGUAACCAGUCGAGAGCUUGCACAGGUGCUGCAUUGCUGUCGU